rnacentral:lncRNA from 1 species
UUUUGUUUAGCCGGAAAGGUUUCCGUGGGGUUUCAUUUGCUCAGAGAAAUAAAGAACGACUCGCGGGGGUGACUAAGACAAAUUCCUCAUUUUCAUUAUAGACUUGGAGGUGGAGUGUCUUCUCAGCGUUAGGGACCCCGAGGUUGGGUGGUAAGAGGUUCAGAGUCAGUCCUGCCCCACUUUGUGCCCACUGGUAUUAGGGACGGUAGGGCUGCAAAGGUGAGCAUCUCACUCGUCUAAGAGGUUCCUCCUUUCUUCUCUUCUCCCCCUCUUCCUCUCUGCCUACAUCCCUCACCCAGUUGACUUGUCCUUAUGUGAAUGGGAGCCAGAAAACCUUGAGAACCUCGAACCAAACAGUGGUUUCUUCCUCGACGUGGACAUGGCACAAGAGAAAAUGGAACUAGACUUGGAGCUGCUGCCGAGUUCAACCACCACAGAUGACAUGCUGAAAAGAUCCAACAGCGCCCCUUUGAUCAAUGGGCUUGGGUAUCUCCCUUGUUCCCGCUGUCCGGAGAUCUCACCCUCAGCCUUGGGGGAAGUGGGAUGGGCUGGCCGGAGGGAGAGCGCACACCUACCCCGAGGUUGACACACAUGUGAACCUGGACGUCCUCUUCUGACAGUCCACCAGGACCCAAAAGCAGCAACCUAUUGGUGUGGAGCACGACUUUUUCUAACUUCACCCCAUCUCUUACCCACUUCUUUGGAAGAAACUGAGCAUUCCCCACCCUCGCCUCCAGAUCUUCUGUGAUGACUGUAAUUUUCUGUCAUUCUCUCAGCUGCUUUGUCUCCUCUGACCUUCACCUCCAGCAAAUGGAAAUGGUUGCCAAGCAAAUAAGCUUGGACCUUUUUUACACCUAGUUUUUAUUUGAACAAAAAGUUUAGAUACCACAGAAACUUGAUCUCCUAAAUUUUGCAUUCUCAAUGGCCAACAUUGCCCCCAACUUGGUUCUUGGGGGUGUGUGAAAAAAUCCUGCUCUUUUUAUGUAUAAGCCACAGGUAUAAGUACAAAAAUUUCAUGAGAAUUUUCAAGAGGGAGUAAUUGAGGGGGGGAUAUGUCAAAAACAGCUCCUUUAGAGGGCCGAUAAUGAAAAGCAUAAGAUUUAGAAACACUGUCCUAACUUAGGUUAACUAUUUCCUGCACAUAUCCAAAAGUCUGGCAUGACACAUGCUUAUAAUUUCUUAAAAUAGAUUUUGAAAGUAAGAUCCUAGAUCUCACAUCCCAGUAUCAUAAAGUUUUAUCAGUAUUGUAAGAAUGUUUGAAAAAUGCAUUCACUCCCUGUGUUAGUAACUUUGUUCCUCCCUCUUGCUAGCAUCGUUCUAAUUGCUAGGUAUCAAUUAGAUAAAUCGCAACUGUUAGAAGUGAACUCAGAGACCAGAUCUAUCCUCCUUAUUUAACGUAUGAGGAAACUGAGGCCUAUAAGUCUCUAAAAUGACGUAGUAAUAGAGCCAGUACUAGGAACCCGUAUCUCCUGAUUCCUAAGCUAGUGAUUUGUCCACAACUAAUCAACUUCUAAGAUUUUGUUAAAGAUUUGUUUUAGAGAGAGUGCAGGUGUGUGGGGGAGGAACAGAGGGAGAGGGAGAGAGCAACUCAAGCAGAUUCUGUGAUGAGCAUGGAGUCCGACUCCGGGCUUGAUCCCACGACCUGAGCCAAAACCAAGAGUCAGAUGCUUCGCCAACUGCCCACCCAGGUGCCCCUCAACUUCUAAGCUUAUUAACUCUAAUCAAAUGCAACUUUCUGGUCAUUUGAGGUAAGGAAGAAUAUACUGUGUGAAAAUAAAAGCAAACUAAGAUUAACA